GAAUCCAGUGGUGCCUUAGGGAUGAGGACUCCAUGGAUAUUUAACGAAGAAAGGGGAAGAGGACAGGGGACAGAGUCCUGAGAAUCCCCUGGGAAGGGAUAGAAGCUCAUCCAGCAUUGAAAGAUGACAUCAGAGCUGCUAUUCAAAAAGAACCCAAUUUAUCAACCUUCCUUAAUAAAGGAACGUCAGCCACAUCGCUGUUAAAGGCUAUAUAACACUCCGCUGUGCAGCUCAACCAUGAAGUGUUGAAUGAUUCUGGAGUUCAGCUGAAGGGAGGUUUCUUCAAUGUCAAUAAAGGAAAAGGCACAGGCACAGGAGGGCGCCACCUGAAGGAAGGGACAAGGUGCCAUAAAAUCAUAGAUGGCUCCAGAGGAACGGAAGGGAGAAAAAUGGCUGGGUGGGCUGUUCAUUUCUGAGCUUCACCCCACUGUGAUCCCAAAACCUAUGGAGAGGUUAGUUCAUCUCUGCUUUUCCACCCACCUUACA